GUGGGGAAUAUUCCGCAAUGGACGAAAGUCUGACGGAGCAACGCCGCGUGAGUGAUGAAGGUUUUCGGACUGUAAAGCUCUGUUGUUUAGGACGAAAGUGCCUGUUGCAAAUAGUUACAGGUAUUGACGGUACUGAACGAGGAAGCCACGGCUAACUACGUGCCAGCAGCCGCGGUAAUACGUAGGUGGCAAGCGUUGUCCGGAAUUAUUGGGCGUAAAGAGCAUGUAGGCGGGAAUCUAAGUCUGUUGUGAAAAUGCGGGGCUCAACCCCGUAUUGCGAUGGAAACUGGGUUUCUUGAGUGCAGGAGAGGAAAGGGGAAUUCCCAGUGUAGCGGUGAAAUGCAUAGAUAUUGGGAGGAACACCAGUGGCGAAGGCGCCUUUCUGGACUGUGUCUGACGCUGAGAUGCGAAAGCCAGGGUAGCGAACGGGAUUAGAAACCCGUGUAGUCC
rnacentral:rRNA from 1 species